rnacentral:rRNA from 1 species
CAAUAGCGUAUAUUAAAGUUGUUGCAGUUAAAAAGCUCGUAGUUGGAUUUGUGGCGUACGGUGUGUUCCGGGCACUUGUUGUCUGAGUAACCUGCUGUUGCCAUCCUUGGGUGGAACCUGUGUGGCAUUAGGUUGUCGUGCAGGGGAUGCCCAUCAUUUACUGUGAAAAAAUUAGAGUGUUCAAAGCAGGCUUAUGCCGUUGAAUAUAUUAGCAUGGAAUAAUGAGAUAGGACUUUUUUGCUAUUUUGUUGGUUUGCGCAAAGAGGUAAUGAUUAAUAGGGACAGUUGGGGGUAAUCGUAUUCCAUUGUCAGAGGUGAAAUUCUUGGAUUUUUGGAAGACGAACUACUGCGAAAGCAUUUACCAAGGAUGUUUUCAUUAA